rnacentral:lncRNA from 1 species
CAAAAGAAAGAGAGUUCAUAAACAUAUAAAACAUUUUCAGAAGAAGAGUAGAAAUGAAUUCCAGCAACAACAAUGGUCCAGGAUUGAGCAAGAAUGAAAGUUUGAUUCCCAAAGGAAAGCAGCAUGUUUCAACAAUGAUAGGAAAGAAAAUGGCUGAGGCUGCGAAGAAUGUAGCAAAAUCGGCAGUCACGGCUGCCAAGAAGCACAACGACAAGGCAAAGAUAAAUGCCGGUAACUAGAAUUCUGGAUGAGCAUAGUACCAAAUUCGAAAGCUAUAGUUUUUUAUUGUCAUGUUUGUAUAAUGUAAUAUAUAUACAUGUAACAUAGGAAUAACAGUGAUAAAAUGACGUGUGUGUGUGUGUGUGUGUGUGU